rnacentral:lncRNA from 1 species
AAGGGAGGAAAGGGCAGUUAGUUUUAACUAUAAAUAAGGAGUCAUUUUGACACUAAAAGGAGAAUUUUCGGGAGCAGAUUUUGAGAACAUAAAAAGAAACAUAAAGGCUGCUUUUAAUCAAUUUUGAGAGAGAAUUAGAAAGCAAAAAUAUGGCUGGAUUUUAACACUUAAAAUUCAGUCUUGGAGAGUUUGAAAAAGAAAAACAGAAAGCAAAGUACUAUUUCGUUGCAUUUCUGAGUUGAUUUCUGCCUUCUGUUUGUUUCUGGGAGUUCAUUGGUUCAAUUUGGUAUUGCUGAGGUUUUCAAUCAAUUUUUCUGAGUUUGCUGUUGGAUUCUUGCUACUGUUUCAUUGGGUUGUUGCUGGAAUUCUGCUGGUUUUAUUUAACUUUGUUACUGGGCUGUUCUGUUGAUUGUUGCUGGUUGUUUGUUGCUGUUGCUGUGUUGCUUACUUCAACUGCUGAUCCUUUCUUCUUCUUUGAAUCUUCAUUGCCAGGUACACAUUCGAAUUCAGCUCGAUGUAGUUUUCUGAAGUUGGAAAGAUGAAAUGAAAUGUUCAUUUGUCUCCCGAGAUAUAUCUGUUCAACUGCGAUGAAUGCUUUUGUUUUAGUUUCAGUUCAUUUGAUUCAUGUAUUUCCUAGACUGUUAAUUAAAUUGACGAUUCUGACCAAAUUGAACAUUGAAUACGAAUUAGCUAGUUGUUAAACUAUAAGUCCUGUAAUUGCAUAAAGGAUAAAUUGAAUUUUGCAAUAGUUGUAGUUUAUCUAAAUGUAGUGUGUUUUAAUUUGUAUGCAUAUGGAAUUUGGACUAUGUAGUUUAAAUUAAACUCGACAGUGGAGUGAAUAUUUGAGAUUGCGUAGGAUUUAAUUGCAGGUUCGAAUUCGUAUCUUAGCUUUUUAGCUGACUGUUAGUUGAAUUGUUUAGUGUACUAUGUCUGUGUGUUUAUUUCCUUGAAAUUAAGUGAGAUAUUUGAAAAUGGA